UGUAUACUUCAAAGUAUUUUCAAAGUAUUUUAAAUAGUAAGUCCUAUGUGAACUUGACUACAAUGAAAAAAAUGAAAGCCAAAAUCCUUGAGCACCUCCCCAUGUCAGCUAGUCCCCUCCCAAGACUAGAGGUCAGAGGGCAUGUCCUAUCUGGGUCACAGGGAUGCACUUGGAUGCUGACAUUAUUAUGCUUUUGGACAGGAUGAGAGAUGGGAGGCAGGAGAGGCUCUCUAUAAUAAUUUGUCUAGGUUCCAAGG
rnacentral:lncRNA from 1 species